AUGCUGAGCGCGAAAGGCGCCAUGAUGUUAUACCGGUAAACAUCAUUUUGAACAUGAAUCGAGAACAGGAGUUGAAUCAGUUGAUGCAGAUAUUCUGAGGAGAAUCUUCCAGUCAUUGAAAUAUAUUUCAUGAUAGUCGUGUAGAUUCAGAAGUUGUGAUGGUGUGUUGAUAGGCUGUCUUCAACUUGCCAUAUCUGAGAGUUCCAACACGCAGGCCUGGAUUAAUGUUUUAUCACAACAAAUGGAUGGGACAGUAGAGCUGUUGCGGACAAUAUGUGAUUGUGAUGACCAAGUACUGAACAAGUGGAAGAUUAGAAGAAGGUCCAGAAUUCAAUCAUGUUUUUGAUUCUAAGGCGCAGACAGCAUGGAGAUAGUCUUAUUAUUCUCCCGUUCAUCUAUGAUGGAGAAACUUGUGUAAAUGUUUACAAUGUUCUCCCUAAUAAUUAAGUGCCCACAAGUCUGUAUUAAUUUAUCAGAAUAUAAAGUCCUUCACAGUACUGAUUUUAAAAUUAAUGUAGAUUGUCUCCAGAUUUUUCUGAGGAAAAGUGCAUAGUUUACAUGUGUGAAUUUUGAAUAUAUUUCAUUCUUGUCUGCAAAUGUUGUCAAAACCUGUUGUUAUUGAUGCACAUAGUCAUGUUAUGCAAAUGAUAGACCUCCUUCUUAAUUACAUGUGCAUAAGAUCAUGUCAACUCCUUUGUCUUAAUUGUAUACACAAUUCUAGCAUUUAUAGCAUCAUUUGUAUAGCACUUGCUAGUUUAAGAAGGAUUUUAUUUUCUAAAAGCUUUCAUUGGAUAUGAUUGAUUUAAAAUGGCCAAAAUUCACAAAUCUAUUUAUUAUAAAUCACAACCUGACCUUAGGCCAGAAAAGUGCCACUGUGGGUUGAUAUUUUUCUCUUGGAUCUUGAAAGAAAUUCUUUAUGUAACAGUUUCCAAAUAAAAUGUACUCUCAUGGCCAGGGUGGGACUUCACCGAGAACUUUUUAACAUUGCACAAUGCAAUAUUUGUAGAUUAGAAGUUGUUGCAGUUUCUUAAAGUUUUCUCUCACAUCUGGUGCAUCAAAAUUGGUAGCGUAUAACUUUUACAUUAUGACCCCUGGGUCGAGGCCUCUGUUGGUGGACUGUUAGUCCCCGAGGGUCUCUACAGCCCAGUAGCUAAGUACUUCGUUACUAGCUUGAAAAUACGGAUGUAUAUUUAAUUGCUGUUAUAAAAUUUAGAAAUUCAUUUCAAAAUUAAGGAUUAUCUCCCUCAUGCAUAGCUCUUAUCCUUGGAGGAAUUUGGCUCCACUUUUUUGACACGCUGGUUUUGGCUAUAUUUAGCUCUAAAACUUCAUAGUUAUUUCGGAUUUCAAACAUUUCGGUUGAGCAUCACUGAAGAGACGUUAUUUGUCGAAAUGCGCAUCUGGUGCAUCAAAAUUGGUACCGGAUAAGUUUAACAUCUAGUUAUAAUUAUAUUUUAUAUUUUUGGUCGGGUUGCAUAAUGUGCAAACAGUUUAUAAAAUGGUGAAUGACUGGUGGGCAAGCGACAGUAGCUUCCCUGUAAUAGUACCUACUUUGUGUAAUCAACUCCUUUCACAUCUCUCACUUGAUGUUCCUCUAACUUUGUACAGUUGUUAGGGAUACAUUGAAGAUGUGCAUGUGCCUUUUUGAAAGUGAUCAGACAUUUUUUGAAAAAAUUUACAUGUAGUUGAACUUCGUCAUUUUUUAAGCAUUUCUUUAAUCGACAGUACCUAUUUUGUGUAAUCAUCUCCUCGUACAUACCUCUAACUUGACAUUCCUCAAACUGUGUACAUUUAUUAUGAACACAUUGAAGAUGUGCAUAUGUGUUUUUGAAAGUGAUCAGACAUUUAAAAAGAAAUGUAUAUGUCGUUGAACUUAGUAAUUUUUAAGCAUUUCUUGAAUAGAUGGUAACUAUUUUGUGUAAUCAAAUCCUCAUGCACCUCUAACUUGACAUUCCUUAAUCUUUGUACAGUUGUUAUGAACACAUUGAAGAUGUGCAUGCAUCUUUUUGAAAAUGAUUAGACUUUUAAAAAAAAAAAAUAUGUGUAAUUGAACUUGGUCAUUUUUAUGCAUUUCUUGAAUAGAUGGUACCUAUUUUGUGUGAUCAACUCGUGCACAUCUAAAUUGACAUUCCUCAAACUUUGUACAGUAGUUAUGGACACAUUGAAGAUGUGCAUGUGUCUUUUUGAAAGUGAUCAGACUUUUUUCAAAAAAAUUACAUUUAGUUGAACUUUGUCAUUUUUUUUAAGCAUUUCCUGAAUAGAUGGUACCUAUUUUUUGUAAUCAACUCCUCUUACAGCAUUUAUUUGACAUCCUUCAGACCUUGAACAGCUGUUAUGGAAGCAUUGUAAAUGUACAUGUGUCUUUUCGGAAGUGAUCAGGCAUUCUUUGAAAAAUUUACAUGUGCAUGGUGAAGUUGAACUUAGUCAUUUUUUAAGCAUGGUACUUUAUGUAACCAACUCAGCUUUUACUUAACAUUUUCCAGACCCUGUACAUUAUAGAUGUUUUAAAAACAUUGAAGAUAUUCAUGUAACAUUUUAAAAAUCCUUCUCUUUUUUUUUUUUUUUCUUCUCUUUUUUGUUGUUGAAAAAUUCUACCUUUAAUUUGUCAUUUUUUUCUACUGUUGCUCCUAUGAUAGAUAACAUAUUUUACAAGAACCAGGCCAUUUCUGUUUUUGAAUAAAUUUUUUAAAUUAGUAUUUUUGAAUAUGUUAAUUACUAAAUAUGUCAUUGUUCUUGAAAUUAUAUUAAUUGAAUUGUUAUUGUGUUUUUGUUUUGUAAUGACAGUUUAUAUAGCAUCCCUUAAUUUCAAGCAGACAGUGCCAGAAGUGUGCCGCAAGUUUGCUGCAAACUGUGUGCCAGAAGUCUGCAGCAAGAGUGUGCCGCAAGUUUGCCGCAAACUGUGCCAGAGGAAAAAUUUGCAUACGAAAAGUAUACCUGCGGCAAAUAUGCCACACACUGUGUGCCAGAAGUGUGCAGCAAGUGUGUGCCGCAACUGUGCCACAAACUGUGUGCCAGAGGAAAAAUUUGCAUAGGAAAAGUAUACUUGCGGCAAAUGUGCAGCA